ACAUUUAUUGAAAAAUAAAGAGCCAUUUAUCUGUUCUUAUCAGCUUAAUAUCUGGUACACUCCCCAUCGGGGAGUUCAGAAUGUUAAACUGAUUUUUGAAAUUAAGACGGAGGGAACGGAGCUUGCUCCACCUCUGUCGCGAGUCAACCUGGCAUUGCAUUACCGUCAGGAGUGGCUCAAUUAUU